rnacentral:rRNA from 1 species
UACGUAGGGGGCUAGCGUUGUCCGGAUUUAUUGGGCGUAAAGAGCGUGUAGGCGGCCAGGUAGGUCUGCUGUGAAAACUCGAGGCUCAACCUCGAGACGUCGGCGGAAACCAUCUGGCUAGAGUCCGGAAGAGGAGAGUGGAAUUCCUGGUGUAGCGGUGAAAUGCGCAGAUAUCAGGAGGAACACCUGCGGCGAAGGCGGGUUGCUGGGCUGAUACUGACGCUGAGGCGCGAAAGCCAGGGGAGCGAACGGG